rnacentral:rRNA from 1 species
GACGAACGCUGGCGGCGUGCUUAACACAUGCAAGUCGAACGAUGAUGCCCAGCUUGCUGGGUGGAUUAGUGGCGAACGGGUGAGUAACACGUGAGUAACCUGCCCCUGACUUCGGGAUAACUCCGGGAAACCGGGGCUAAUACCGGAUAUGAGCCGCUCUCGCAUGGGGGUGGUUGGAAAGUUUUUCGGUCAGGGAUGGGCUCGCGGCCUAUCAGCUUGUUGGUGGGGUGAUGGCCUACCAAGGCGACGACGGGUAGCCGGCCUGAGAGGGCGACCGGCCACACUGGGACUGAGACACGGCCCAGACUCCUACGGGAGGCAGCAGUGGGGAAUAUUGCACAAUGGGCGAAAGCCUGAUGCAGCGACGCCGCGUGAGGGAUGAAGGCCUUUGGGUUAUAAACCUCUUUCAGCAGGGAAGAAGCGCAAGUGACGGUACCUGCAGAAGAAGCGCCGGCUAACUACGUG